UACGAAGGGUGCAAGCGUUACUCGGAAUUACUGGGCGUAAAGCGUGCGUAGGUGGUUUGUUAAGUCUGAUGUGAAAGCCCUCGGCUCAACCGAGGAAGUGCGCCCGAAACUGCAUGGCUUGAGUACCGGAGAGGAUGGCGGAAUUCCCCAAGUAGAGGUGAAAUUCGUAGAUAUGGGGAGGAACACCGGUGGCGAAGGCGGCCAUCUGGACGGAUACUGACGCUGAGACGCGAAAGCGUGGGGAGCAAACAGG
rnacentral:rRNA from 1 species